rnacentral:rRNA from 1 species
AUUGAACGCUGGCGGAAUGCUUUACACAUGCAAGUCGAACGGCAGCACGGGGGCAACCCUGGUGGCGAGUGGCGAACGGGUGAGUAAUACAUCGGAACGUGCCCGGUCGUGGGGGAUAACGUAGCGAAAGUUACGCUAAUACCGCAUACGAUCUGAGGAUGAAAGCGGGGGACCUUCGGGCCUCGCGCGAUCGGAGCGGCCGAUGUCAGAUUAGGUAGUUGGUGGGGUAAAGGCCUACCAAGCCGACGAUCUGUAGCUGGUCUGAGAGGACGACCAGCCACACUGGGACUGAGACACGGCCCAGACUCCUACGGGAGGCAGCAGUGGGGAAUUUUGGACAUUGGGCGCAAGCCUGAUCCAGCCAUUCCGCGUGCAGGACGAAGGCCUUCGGGUUGUAAACUGCUUUUGUAUGGAACGAAAAGGCUCUGGCUAAUACCUGGGGCUCAUGACGGUACCGUAAGAAUAAGCACCGGCUAACUACGUG